GACGAACGCUGGCGGCGUGCUUAACACAUGCAAGUCGAACGGAAAGGCUCCAGCUUGCUGGAGUGCUCGAGUGGCGAACGGGUGAGUAACACGUGGGCAAUCUGCCCUGCACUCUGGGAUAAGCCUGGGAAACUGGGUCUAAUACCGGAUAGGACCUUUCUCCUCAUGGGGUUUGGUGGAAAGUUUUUCGGUGCAGGAUGAGCCCGCGGCCUAUCAGCUUGUUGGUGGGGUAAUGGCCUACCAAGGCGACGACGGGUAGCCGGCCUGAGAGGGGGGUCGGCCACAUUGGGACUGAGAUACGGCCCAGACUCCUACGGGAGGCAGCAGUGGGGAAUAUUGCACAAUGGGCGCAAGCCUGAUGCAGCGACGCCGCGUGAGGGAUGACGGCCUUCGGGUUGUAAACCUCUUUCAGUAGGGACGAAGCGCAAGUGACGGUACCUGCAGAAGAAGCACCGGCUAACUACGUG
rnacentral:rRNA from 1 species